CUGAAAACAAAAAGAAAGAAGAGUAGUUCAUUCUUACUUUUCAGCGAAUCCCGUUAGGUGUGAGGGGAUAAAGUUAAGUUUAAGCGAAAAUCACUUUCUAGUUCUGUUUCUCAACUAUUGAGUAAGAAACAGUGGGAGCGCCCAUUAUAGUGCCAACGUAUCGCCGAUUAAGUCGGCCGCACGUGAAAGGUAUUAUUAGCAAUAAUAAUAUGAAUAAAGGGUGGUACCACGCUAAUGACGUCCCUCAG
rnacentral:ncRNA from 1 species